CUGGGUGGCUCAGACAGUUAAGCGGCUGCCUUUGGCUCAGGUCAUGAUCCCAGGGUCCUGGGAUCGAGCCCCGCAUUGGGGAGCCUGCUGAGCCAGGGAGCCUGCUUCUCCCUCUCCCUCUGCCUGCUGCUUCCCCUGCUUGUACACUCUCUCUCUCUGUCAAAAAUAAAAAUAAAAUCUUAAAAAAAAAAAAAAAAAAGAAGACUCAGGCUGUGAAAACGGAGUCAUCUGGUUUUAUUUUCCAGUCCGUGGUGAGGAUUAUGUAAGGCUGUGAGGUAGAAGUCACAUGUGGGCUAGGCCAAGGCCAAGUGACAGCAAGGGAUUCCUCAGCAAAGCAAAUUGCAGCCUUACAAAGAAGAGUACCUUCUCCUCUGCCUCGGGCAUGUUUUCAGGCUGUCCUGCCUGGCAAUGAGAUUUUAUUUAUUUAUUUGAGAGAGAGAAUGAGAGACAGAGAGCACGAGAGGGAAGAGGAUCAGAGGGAGAAGCAGACCCCCCGCCGAGCAGGGAGCCCGAUGCGGGACUCGAUCCAGGGACUCCAGGAUCAUGACCUGAGCCGAAGGCAGUCGCUUAACCAACUGAGCCACCCAGGCGCCCCUGCAUGCUGUUGAUUACAGGCAUGUCCCGAGCCUGCCAGCGUCACAAGCGAGGACACAGACGGCAGGCACAUGACAGUCGCGAUGGAAAAUGCACAAUGAUGCACUCAUCUAUUUCACCGCAGUGACCACAGAGAGAAAGAGAGUGCACAACAGGGGAAGCUGCAGAGGGAGAAGGAGAAGCAGGCUCCCCACUGAGCAGGGAGCCUGAUGUGGGGCUCUAUCGAAGGACCCUGGGAUCAUGACCUGAGCCGAAGGCAGACGCUUAACCCACUGAACCGCCUAGGCACCCCGACCAGAAUCAUUUCUACACAUAUAUUUAUAAUUUUUUUUCUGUCAAAUCUCUGAGCCAGAUUUAGCAGCUUUUUAUGAGAAUAUUGGUCAUCAAUUUUGUUAUGAAAGCAGAAUUGGUCAAAGAUCAUUAUUAAUAAUUAUGGAAAAUGUAUCCUCCCAGAGCUCAGAGCUCCUUAGAGAGAUGAGAUGACCUCACUUCUUCCAAAGGCCACACAAAUUAGUCCAGAAAGGUAUAUUGUCUGUUAAGUGUUUAAUCCUCUAGAACAGAUUUCCAUCAUCUCUGAAAUCCUGUGGUUACCCACAAACCUCAUGCUAAAGAAGUUCCUCCUCACAUCUAACCUAAAUGUCCCUUUAGCUAUUUUAUGAAGUCACAAAGCACUCUCUCUUGCAUCUAUAGCCUGAAAUAAAUUUGGCUGUGAUAAUAAAGUUCAAAGGGAAAUUAAAUACUUCCUCUCUUCCACCCAUUCUGACUAUUGAUUGUUUGUUAAAAAAUUCUCGCUACUUCUUUAGACUACUGCCUACCUACAUUCCCAAACCAGCUUUCAGAGGAUUGAUGCCAACUAGGUAGAAGAGAUGGCAUUAUUCAUCAAAUUCUCAAUCCAGCUUAUCUAGAGCCCUAUGCCUAAUUCACCCAUAAUCAUUCAUUUAUGAUCGCUACAUCAUGAUCACUUACUGAAGUCACUGGUCCUAAUUUGACAUGAAUGGAGGGCGUGUUAGGGCACAGGAGAUAAUUUGAUGAGAAAGAAUGAGCGAAGUCUAAUCAUGCAGGAGCUUGAAGGUCAAGUUGAGAUCGGAUGUGGAAGCAAACGAGCAAACAAGAAAAAUGUAGCUUGGACCAAUGUAUUCAGAGUGAAACUGCUGGGAAUUGUGAUUUUUGAACUUGUGUUCAGGCUGAUCCUGCUUUGCAACCAUAAAGUAGAUAAUAAAUAUGAACAUCUCUAAUUGCAAGUGGCUGAAAAACCCAGGGCCUUUACUGUAGGAAGAGUAAAAGUCACAGGGCUGCCCUUUACUCAGUUUCAGUCUGUUCACAUCCAAAGCACUCACUCUGCAUCUUACCUUUCUG